UACGUAGGGAGCAAGCGUUGUCCGGAAUCAUUGGGCGUAAAGCGCGCGUAGGCGGCCCGAUAAGUCCGCUGUGAAAGUCAACGGCUCAACUGUUGGAUGCCGGUGGAUACUGUCGGGCUAGAGUACGGAAGAGGCAAGUGGAAUUCCUGGUGUAGCGGUGGAAUGCGCAGAUAUCAGGAGGAACACCGGUGGCGAAGGCGGGUCUCUGGGCCGAUACUGACGCUGAGGAGCGAAAGCGUGGGGAGCGAACAGG
rnacentral:rRNA from 1 species